rnacentral:rRNA from 1 species
GACGAACGCUGGCGGCGUGCUUAACACAUGCAAGUCGAACGGAAAGGCCCUGCUUGCAGGGUACUCGAGUGGCGAACGGGUGAGUAACACGUGGGUGAUCUGCCCUGCACUUCGGGAUAAGCCUGGGAAACUGGGUCUAAUACCGGAUAGGAGCCAUUUUUAGUGUGAUGGUUGGAAAGUUUUUUCGGUGUAGGAUGAGCUCGCGGCCUAUCAGCUUGUUGGUGGGGUAAUGGCCUACCAAGGCGGCGACGGGUAGCCGGCCGGAGAGGGUGGACGGCCACAUUGGGAAUGAGAUACGGCCCAGACUCCUACGGGAGGCAGCAGUGGGGAAUAUUGCACAAUGGGCGCAAGCCUGAUGCAGCGACGCCGCGUGGGGGAGGACGGCCUUCGGGUUGUAAACUCCUUUCGCUAGGGACGAAGCUUUUUGUGACGGUACCUAGAUAAGAAGCACCGGCUAACUACGUG